CCUAUAACAUGCAAAAAAAAGCAAAAAAGCUCGUAAACACUGGGUAUUUUUAAACUCAGGACAAAAUUUUGAAUCUAUUUAGCAGUUUUUUUCAUUCGCUUUUGUAGAUGAGUAAAAGAUUUUUCAAGUAAAAGUCAAAAAACAUGUAUUUUUUUCAAUUUUUUAUCAUAUUUUUUUAUUUUUUUUAAAUUAAAAUACAUGAGAUUAUAUAAAUAAUGGUAUGUAAAGAAAGCC